rnacentral:rRNA from 1 species
AUUGAACGCUGGCGGCAGGCCUAACACAUGCAAGUCGAACGGUAACAGGAAGAAGCUUGCUUCUUUGCGGAUGAGUGGCGGACGGGUGAGUAAUGUCUGGGAAACUGUCUGCUGGAGGGGGAUAACUACUGGCAACGGUAGCUAAUACCGAAUAACGUCGCAAGACUAAAGAGGGGGAGCUUCGGGCCUCUUGCCAUCGGAUGUGCCCAGAUGGGAUUGGCUUGUAGGUGGGGUUACGGCUCACCUGGGCGGCGAUCCCUAGCUGAUCUGAGAGGAUGGCCGGCCACCCUGGAAGUGAGACACGGUCCAGAGGACUACGGGAGGCAGCAGUCGGGAAUAGGGGACAGUAGGGGCGAGCCUGGUGCAACGAUGCGGCGUGUAUGAAGAAAGCCUUCGGGGUGUAAAGUACUUUCUGCGGUGGGGAAGGGAGUAAAGUUAAUACCUUUGCUCAUUGACGUUACCCGCAGAAGAAGCACCGGCUAACUCCGUG